rnacentral:rRNA from 1 species
CGGUGGAGCAUGUGGUUUAAUUCGAAGCAACGCGAAGAACCUUACCAGGUCUUGACAUCCUCUGACAAUCCUAGAGAUAGGACGUCCCCUUCGGGGGCAGAGUGACAGGUGGUGCAUGGUUGUCGUCAGCUCGUGUCGUGAGAUGUUGGGUUAAGUCCCGCAACGAGCGCAACCCUUGAUCUUAGUUGCCAGCAUUCAGUUGGGCACUCUAAGGUGACUGCCGGUGACAAACCGGAGGAAGGUGGGGAUGACGUCAAAUCAUCAUGCCCCUUAUGACCUGGGCUACACACGUGCUACAAUGGACAGAACAAAGGGCAGCGAAACCGCGAGGUUAAGCCAAUCCCACAAAUCUGUUCUCAGUUCGGAUCGCAGUCUGCAACUCGACUGCGUGAAGCUGGAAUCGCUAGUAAUCGCGGAUCAGCAUGCCGCGGUGAAUACGUUCCCGGGCCUUGUACACACCGCCCGUCACACCACGAGAGUUUGUAACACCCGAAGUCGGUGAGGUAAC